ensembl:lncRNA
AUGCUCAUCUCAUCUCAUCUCAUCACAUCUCUUCUCAUCUCAUCACAUCACAUCCCAUCUCAUCUCAUCUCAUCUCAUCACAUCACAUCUCAUCUCAUCUCAUCUCAUCACAUCACAUCUCUUCUCAUCACAUCACAUCACAUCUCAUCACAUCUCAUCUCAUCACAUCUCUUCUCAUCUCAUCACAUCACAUCUCAACUCAUCACAUCUCAUCUCAUCACAUCACAUCACAACACAUCUCAUCACAUCUCAUCUCAUCUCAUCUCAUCUCAACUCAUCUCAACUCAUCUCAUCACAUCACAUCACAUCACAUCUCAUCACAUCUCAUCUCAUCUCAUCACAUCACAUCUCAUCUCUUCUCUUCUCAUCACAUCACAUCACAUCUCAUCACUUCACAUCUCAUCACAUCUCUUCUCAUCUCAUCUCAUCACAUCACAUCACAUCACAAUCUCAUCCAUCACAUCUCAUCUCAUCUCAUCUCAUCUCAUCUCAUCACAUCACAUCACAUCACAUCUCAUCACAUCACAUCUCAUCUCAUCACAUCUCAGCUCAUCUCAUCUCAUCUCAUCACAUCACAUCUCAUCUCAUCUCAUCUCUUCUCAUCACAUCUCAUCUCAUCACAUCUCAUCUCAUCUCAUCUCAUCUCAUCUCAUCUCAUCACAUCACAUCUCAUCUCAUCUCAUCUCAUCUCAUCUCUUCUCAUCACAUCACAUCACAUCACAUCUCAUCUCAUCACAUCUCAUCACUUCACAUCUCAUCACAUCUCUUCUCAUCUCAUCACAUCACAUCUCAACUCAUCACGUCUCGUCUCAUCUCAUCUCAUCUCAUCACAACUCAUCACAUCUCGUCUCUUCUCAUCUCAUCUCAUCUCAUCUCAUCACAUCACAUCACAUCUCAUCUCAUCACAUCUCAUCACUUCACAUCUCAUCACAUCUCUUCUCAUCUCAUCACAUCACAUCACAUCACAUCACAUCUCAACUUAUCACAUCUCAUCUCAUCUCAUCUCAUCUCAUCACAACUCAUCACAACUCAUCACAUCACAUCACAUCUCAUCUCAUCACAUCUCAUCACUUCACAUCUCAUCACAUCUCUUCACAUCACAUCACAUCACAUCACAUCUCAACUCAUCACAUCUCUUCUCAUCUCAUCACAUCACAUUACAUCUCAACUCAUCACAUCUCAUCUCAUCUCAUCACAACUCGUCUCGUCUCGUCUCGUCUCGUCUCGUCACGUCACGUCACGUCACGUCACGUCUCGUCUCGUCUCGUCACAUCACAUCACAUCAAAUCAUAUAUGGAUGUAUUAAGUGAGUGUGUCUCUGAGAGCAUGAGCUCAUCCUGCAUUAGCAGCCGCCGGAGGGAAGGAUUGAGUUUGUGGGCAGCCGGUCUCGGUGCCGGUUUGGCUCGUGUUUACCAGCAGACAGCUGGUCUGUAG